UACAGAGGGUGCGAGCGUUGUUCGGAAUUAUUGGGCGUAAAGGGCGCAUAGGCGGUGCGGCAAGUCACCUGUGAAACCUCUGGGCUUAACCCAGAGCCUGCAGGCGAUACUGCCGUGCUUGAGGACUGGAGAGGAGACUGGAAUUUACGGUGUAGCAGUGAAAUGCGUAGAGAUCGUAAGGAAGACCAGUGGCGAAGGCGGGUCUCUGGACAGUUCCUGACGCUGAGGCACGAAGGUCAGGGGAGCAAACGGG
rnacentral:rRNA from 1 species